AAGUCGUAACAAGGUUUCCGUAGGUGAACCUGCGGAAGGAUCAUUACCGAGUGAGGGCCCUCUGGGUCCAACCUCCCACCCGUGUCUAUCGUACCUUGUUGCUUCGGCGGGCCCGCCUCACGGCCGCCGGGGGGCUUCUGCCCUCUGGCCCGCGCCCGCCGAAGACACCAUUGAACGCUGUCUGAAGGUUGCAGUCUGAGCAAUUAGCUAAAUAAGUUAAAACUUUCAACAACGGAUCUCUUGGUUCCG
rnacentral:misc_RNA from 1 species